rnacentral:rRNA from 1 species
UACGGAGGGGGCUAGCGUUGUUCGGAAUUACUGGGCGUAAAGCGCACGUAGGCGGACGAGAAAGUCAGAGGUGAAAUCCCAGGGCUCAACCCUGGAACUGCCUUUGAAACUCCUUGUCUUGAGGUCGAGAGAGGUGAGUGGAAUUCCGAGUGUAGAGGUGAAAUUCGUAGAUAUUCGGAGGAACACCAGUGGCGAAGGCGGCUCACUGGCUCGAUACUGACGCUGAGGUGCGACAGCGUGGGGAGCAAACAGG